rnacentral:rRNA from 1 species
UUGUUUGGAGAGUUUGAUUCUGGCUCAGGACGAACGCUGGCGGCGUGCUUAACACAUGCAAGUCGAACGGAAAGGCCCUUCGGGGUACUCGAGUGGCGAACGGGUGAGUAACACGUGGGUGAUCUGCCCUGCACUUUGGGAUAAGCCUGGGAAACUGGGUCUAAUACCGAAUAGGACUACGCGAUGCAUGUCGUGUGGUGGAAA